AGUUGCGUUCAGUCUUCGACAGGCGUUCGCGACAAACGAACGUAUCGACGUGAAAGUAUUUGGCGGGAAACUCGACGCGAGUGAUUGUGUUUGUGAAAAGUGCUGUGCGAUAAUAAACAUAAAACUGGAGCGAUUAUUUAUUUUGACGAGUGCGCACAGAGGUGAUGCCGGCAUGUCAACGCGCGCGGUGAGAGCGGCGCUGCUCUGCGCGUGCGCAUUGCUCCUGCAAUACGCUAGUGCCGAGCUGCGAGGCAGAUGUCCGGCUGAAGGAGGACCAUGUCCGGCGCGCGCUGCGCCUUGCAGCGUCGACGAUGACUGCGGAGAGAAGAUAUGCUGCAAUACCGCUUGCGGCCGCACCUGCGUGGAUCCGCUCUA